ensembl:lncRNA
GUAGAAUGGGAGGCAGAGCCUUCAGCCUUCGGGCCCCUCUUCUGUGAAACCAGCUGUGAGUCCGACACCCUCUCUACUUUUAAGGCUUAAAACGUUCCUUUUGACAAAGCACAUUGUUAGGGCUGGAGCAGGUGACCAGAAGAACAGAAUCCCCUCCAUCAUGAAGAAACUGUGCGUCGCAGUCGUCGGAGUUUUGCUGCUGGCUUUCCAUCUCACAUCACAGGUGGCCCUGGCGAAUAACGGCACGAAUCCGGACAACACAAACAUCACCACCCCGAGUUCCACGGGGGCUGGUUGUAGGACUACCGCCGCCUUCAUGCUGCUGCUCCCCCCGCUGGCUCUGACCGCUCUUCUCCUCCACAGGUCCUGACCGAGUGGACUGACCGCGCUGGACACAAAAGCAGCACAGGUUGCACUGUGGAUCCAAUGCUGGCUUAGUCUAAAUACAUUAAUCUCUCAAUCCACCCACCCACUCAAAAACCACCAAAAACGCGUUUUGGAAUUACAUUUUCAGUGCUGGGUGGGAAAACUUGUCUAAAGGCGACGCUCACUUUGAAGCAUUCUGCUCGUUCUAUCCUCUGCACUGGCUCUGCAUGGUCUCUGAAAACUACUUUGGCACCACACCGGUCCUCCUAUCCUGCGUGCAGUGGGAGAACACCUCAGACUCGUGUGCAGUGACCAUCUUCGAUUCUGGUUUCAUUCGCCUGAACAUGAUUUGUAAAGGAGCUAAAUUUGUAACCACUGUGCUUUUAGGGUGUGACUUGAACUGUUUAUUUUUAUGUAGAUUAAAUAAAGCUAUAAAUUGUGAGACCACAUGGCUGACCAUUUCUUUCCUGCUUUGAGUGUUUAACGUUUUCAGGCUAGACUAUAGAGCCAUCAAAUUAAAAC